UACAGAGGUCCCGAGCGUUGUUCGGAUUCAUUGGGCGUAAAGGGUGCGUAGGCGGCGGGGUAAGUCUGAUGUGAAAUCCUGGGGCUCAACCCUGGAACUGCAUUGGAUACUGCCUUGCUAGAGAACUGGAGAGGAGACUGGAAUUUACGGUGUAGCAGUGAAAUGCGUAGAGAUCGUAAGGAAGACCAGUGGCGAAGGCGAGUCUCUGGACAGUUACUGACGCUGAGGCACGAAGGCCAGGGAGCAAACGGG
rnacentral:rRNA from 1 species